ACUCAAAGGAAUAGACGGGGACCCGCACAAGCAGCGGAGCGUGUGGUUUAAUUCGAGGCUACGCGAAGCACCUUACCAGGGAUUGACAUGACUGUAGUAGUGAAGCGAAAGCAGAACGACCCUUCGGGGAGCAGUCACAGGUGAUGCAUGGCUGUCGUCAGCUCGUGCCGUGAGGUGUUUGGUUAAGUCCACUAACGAGCGCAACCCCUAGCGCCAGUUACACGUGUCUGGCGCGACUGCCGGUCUUAAGCCGGAGGAAGGUGGGGAUGACGUCAAGUCAGCAUGUCCUUUAUACCCUGGGCGACACACACGCUACAAUGGCCAGCACAAUGGGUCGCCAAGCCGUGAGGCGGAGCCAAUCCUAAAAAGCUGGUCUCAGUUCGGAUUGCAGGCUGCAACCCGCCUGCAUGAAGUCGGAGUUGCUAGUAACCGCAGGACAGCUAUACUGCGGUGAAUACGUUCCCGGGUCUUGCACACACCGCCCGU
rnacentral:rRNA from 1 species